rnacentral:lncRNA from 1 species
AUGGUAAAUGCUGCAGGGAAGAGCUGGGAGAUGGCAGCAUGUUUCAUUCAGCUGCACCUGAGGGACAGCCUCCUCCCUGCUGGCUUCCGAGGCACUUUGCAGACCAUUCCUGCUGAGCUGGAGGCAGAGGAACAAGUUGUGCAGCACCCAGUCCAAAACCCUGCUCCAUUCAGAAGCUUCAGAUCUGCAGGAUGGACUGUGAGCACAGAGGCAGCUGGGAGAGCCUUCAAACCUAUGCUGGAGCUUUUGUGUCUUCUUGUGCUGUGAACCAAAGCCUGCAGCCCCACAGACAGAUCUGCAGCAUUUUGCCUGACUUCUCCAGUGGAGACAUCUCCCUCGCACACAGCUCUCACCUCCAGCCUGCACCCAGAACGGUGAUCCAAGCAUGUGCUGGGAUUCCUGUCCUGUUGGAGCAUGCUUCCAGCAAAAACCAUGCCUGAGUAAGCUAGUACCCUCCCAAAGCUCCUGCUGCCUGCCAGGAU